rnacentral:lncRNA from 10 species
GCUACAGGUCCAGAACAUCCACGGAGCUUUCAAUGCUCUCGGGGGAGCAGACAGACUCACCUCCAACCCUAACCAGUGGGAAGGUGGACCCAGCCCCGUCCAGACCCAGACCCUGAUGGAGAAGGAAGAAGGCUUGUCCCGGGGCACAGCAGACGCACGCACGCAGUGGAUACCAGCUAUUACCAUUAUUGUUGCUCUCAUCACAGCCACAUCAUCAUCCUUAGUUGAACUAAUUACCUAAGAUCCCACAGGGAGCUAUGGCAGAACCAGGAUCUGUUCUGCCUCCAGGUCGCACCGUGAGAACAGGUCUGUGGGUGGCCCAGUCAGCUGUGACCACAUGGCUGCCUCCCCCACACCUCACUCUCCUCCUGCUCAGACUCCUCCCAUCGAUAGUGGCUCCUCCUAGAGUCCUCGCCCUCCUUAGCUCCCUGGCACCUUGGCCCAGAUCAAAGAGAA